rnacentral:lncRNA from 1 species
AAUUAAGGAGAAGUUUUAGACAAGAGCUGCAAAGCGGCAAAAAUAAAAGUUUACUGUGGCGACAUAAGUGCACUUAGAUGUUUAGCUCCCGUCAACACCCAGAGGCGGGCCUCCUCUUUGAUCUUAGCGACAGUAAUGGUGGUCGGCGAAGCCGUGUUGCGAAAGACUCUUGUGUUUCUCUCCUUCCAAAUUUCCCUCAUGACCAGCAUCAGAACCGAUACUAAAGCUUUCUUGAGAUGUCCUCCCGUGUUGAUCGUCUUCAUCCACCAAUCUUGGACCGUGUCUUCGCGUCGCCAAGUCAGAGGUGAGUGGACGUGAAUGCC